ensembl:lncRNA
GGAAAAGUGCAUGGGCACCUUGCAUCUUAAAGAAGUCCUUGUCUUCCUCGACGAUCUCAUCGUUUUCUCAAAAAGCCUGGAGGAACAUGAAGAGCGCCUCAUGAAAGUCCUGAACCAGCUGAAAGAGUUUGGUUUAAAACUAUCUCCAAGCAAAUGCCACUUUUUCAUGAAAUCUGUGAAUUAUCUGGGACAUAUUGUUUUCGGAGAAAGGCGUAGAAACAGACCCUGAGAAAAUCUCUGCACUCACCACCUGGCCAAAGCCGACAAAUAUCAGUGAGCUGAAGUCCUUUUUGGGUUUCACUGGGUAUUAUAGGAGGUUUGUAAGAGACUACUCCAAAAUUGCUAAACCAUUAAAUGCACUAACAGUUGGCUAUUGUCCACCUCGAAGGAAUGCAAAGGGUUUUAAGCCUGUCCCCAAUUCUGAUUUCAAGAAACCUUUUGGUGGUAGAUGGACGCCUGAGUGUGACACCGCAUUCCAGGCACUAAUUCAGAAGUUGACCACAGCCCCGGUGUUUGGAUUUGCGAAUCCAAAACUGCCGUACAUCUUACAUACAGAUGCUAGUCUCCAUGGUCUUGGUGCUGCCUUGUACCAGGAACAAGAUGGUCACAUGAGGGUGAUUUCAUUUGCCAGCAGAGGGUUGUCAAACUGUGAAAAACGUUAUCCCACCCACAAGCUGGAAUUUUUAGCCUUAAAGUGGGCAGUGACGGAUAAGUUUUAUGACUAUCUGUAUGGGGCUGAGUUCACCAUUAUGACUGAUAAUAACCCCCUCACAUAUAUAUUAACAUCUGCCAAGCUUGACGCUGCAGGACACUGGUGGCUUGCAGCCCUGUCUACUUUCAAUUUCAGCAUCCAAUAUAGGAAAUAUUGGAUUUAGUUCGUACACGUUUCUAUUGGCCAAGGAUGUCAUUGGAUGUCGAAACCAAGGUCAGUACCUGUGAGAGGUGUAUCAGAAGGAGGGCAAAAGCGGAAAAAAAAAACAUCUCUCCUUGUUAACAUCGAGACCAGUCGACCUUUAGAACUAGUCUGCAUGGACUACCU